rnacentral:rRNA from 1 species
GACGAACGCUGGCGGCGUGCUUAACACAUGCAAGUCGAACGGAAAGGCCCUGCUUUUGUGGGGUGCUCGAGUGGCGAACGGGUGAGUAACACGUGAGUAACCUUCCCUUGACUUUGUGAUAACUUCAGGAAACUGGGGCUAAUACCGGAUAGGAGCUCCUGCUGCAUGGUGGGGGUUGGAAAGUUUCGGCGGUUGGGGAUGGACUCGCGGCUUAUCAGCUUGUUGGUGGGGUAGUGGCUUACCAAGGCUUUGACGGGUAGCCGGCCUGAGAGGGUGACCGGCCACAUUGGGACUGAGAUACGGCCCAGACUCCUACGGGAGGCAGCAGUGGGGAAUAUUGCACAAUGGGCGGAAGCCUGAUGCAGCAACGCCGCGUGCGGGAUGACGGCCUUCGGGUUGUAAACCGCUUUCGCCUGUGACGAAGCGUGAGUGACGGUAAUGGGUAAAGAAGCACCGGCUAACUACGUG